rnacentral:rRNA from 1 species
CUGGCUCAGGAUGAACGCUAGCGACAGGCUUAACACAUGCAAGUCGAGGGGCAGCACGGGAGUAGCAAUACAACUGGUGGCGACCGGCGCACGGGUGAGUAACGCGUAUGCAACCUACCUAUCAGAGGGGAAUAACCCGGCGAAAGUCGGACUAAUACCGCAUAAAACAGGGGCACCGCAUGGUGAUAUUUGUUAAAGAAAUUCGCUGAUAGAUGGGCAUGCGUUCCAUUAGGUAGUUGGUGAGGUAACGGCUCACCAAGCCGACGAUGGAUAGGGGAACUGAGAGGUUGGUCCCCCACACUGGUACUGAGACACGGACCAGACUCCUACGGGAGGCAGCAGUGAGGAAUAUUGGUCAAUGGGCGAGAGCCUGAACCAGCCAAGUCGCGUGGAAAAGGAAGAAGGAUCUAUGGUUCGUAAACUUCUUUUGCAGGGGAAUAAAGUGCAGGACGUGUCCUGUUUUGUAUGUACCCUGUAGAAUAAGGAUCGGCUAACUCCGUGCCAGCAGCCGC